rnacentral:lncRNA from 1 species
GUUAAAAGAGAUCUGAAUAGAGACAAAUGAAGAAACAAGCUGGUGUCUGAGGUAGAUGUGUCUGCAUGCUGCACAGGGCACCGAGUGGUGCUGAGCUGGCACGGCAAGCCCCAGUAUGUACCAGAAGUGCGGUGUCUGAAUAAUGGAGAAAGGGAAGCAGGCAUCCAGGUGACGCGCUGGGAUUUAAGAGUUCCUGCAGGCUUGAGCUGGAGGAAACGUUCAGUGCACCGACUGGAACGGAGCCAGCUAGGAAGGGACUUCAGCAGGAAGGGCUGCACAGCUUCCCAGCCAUCACAGGAUCAGAGCAGCCGUGGACCUGAGGAGGUGAUUAAGAAUCAAGUGCCCGUGACAAAUAGCCCUUCAGAGGAAGUUAGCUUUUGUGGGAGCAACUCGAGCUGACCCUGAGUCACAGCAAAGAAGCCUGUGGAGGAAUCAUGGCCAGCCAACAGGUUGAGUUGGAGGAAAUCUCUUAGAUAGAUGGACUAUCAGACUGUGAAAAAGCAUAAGAUCAACGAGGCUGGAGACCACUGGCAUCCAAUGGCCUUGACAAACAGUGUCAGUUCAACAUGCUCCAAGCCAUCUGCUCCUUGGCACGGGUAAUUCUGGCUAGCAUUCAUUCCAGCUACUGAGGAUCUUCAGCCUAACUCUGCUGGGGAAACCAAGGGCACAAGGACAAACCCCAGCAGGAAAUUAAAUUAAUCUGAAAUACAGCAGUCCCUAUUUGAAGAAGCCAUCAGUGUGGUCAGCCUGAUGCAAAGUGUUGGGUGAAGUGGCUCGAAUAUUAAUGUAAUGGAUUAGAGGCCUCUGUGACCAUGGUUAGUUUUCCCUUGAGGUAUUUUGGUGAUUCACAAGAUCUUUUAAAUGCUGAUCAGAAGAAGAGGUUGAUUCAUCGUGUUAACAUUAAAAGAUAUUGGAGGAGGCUAAAAUCUUUGUAUUUCCAAAGUAUAGGAUGAACUUUAUUAUGAAGAGCAGACCCUGAUGUAGCUGUCUGUUAAAGGACUAUCUUCUUGUGAAGCACCCGAGGCUGCUGUAUGUUGGAGACAUAAACAGGAGUGCUAAGUGAGCCUUGGUUGCCAUUGCUGGGAUGGAGGAUUGAGGGCUGAAGGCUCUGUAGGGUUUGCUUGGGUCACACUGAAACACCUCCAAAUGUGUGUGUUUCAGUUUUGGAUCUGUAGUGGAUG